UUGUGAGAUUUUGGGGUUUUGGGGGUUUCAACCUCCAUGGAAGCUUGAGGAACACUCAUUCCUCUAUUGUGUGAUCAUUGGUGGAUUGAGGCAAGAGGACCAAGUGGAGUGACCAACCCUUGGGGUUGUGUGCAAUUGAGGAAAGCUCAAAGAGCAAGGUACUGAUAGAGGUGAGGUUGAUCGAGGCAAGAAGCGUGAGUAGACUGUACCUGAUAGCUGGACAUGUUGAGUUGCAUGCCAUUUAGCAUUGCUAUAUGUAUAUUUUGAUGCCACAUGAUGUAUUUUGGAGGACUUAGUGCAUGAUCAUUGUAGUAGUAAUGGGUAUCUGAUA